rnacentral:rRNA from 1 species
CUACGGGAGGCUGCAGUGAGGAAUAUUGCACAAUGGGGGGAACCCUGAUGCAGCAACGCCGCGUGGAGGAUGACGCAUUUCGGUGUGUAAACUCCUUUUAUAUGUCAAGAAAAUGACGGUAGCAUAUGAAUAAGCGCCGGCUAACUCCGUGCCAGCAGCCGCGGUAAUACGGAGGGCGCAAGCGUUACUCGGAAUCACUGGGCGUAAAGGACGCGUAGGCGGGUUGAAAAGUCAGGUGUGAAAGCCUACAGCUUAACUGUAGAACUGCACUUGAAACUCUCACCUAGAGUAUGGGAGGGGCAGAUGGAAUUAGUGGUGUAGGGGUAAAAUCCGUAGAUAUCACUAGGAAUACCUAAAGCGAAGGCGAUCUGCUGGAACAUUACUGACGCUAAGGCGUGAAAGCGUGGGGAGCAAACAGGAUUAGAUACCCGGGUAGUC